GGAACACUGAGGUUAAGCUUCGAUUAACCAUUCAGAAGCUUCGGGUGACUGAACAGUUGCUCACAGAGAAAGAAGUGGACCACCAGAAGAAAGAAGAGAAGUUACUGCAACAUCAAAAGUUACUGGAAGAGAGGAUUGCAACAUUGUCAGGAGUUAUCACUGAAUACAAGGAAACUCAAGCAAAAAUAAAAGCAGACCUUUCAAAUAAAGUAAAUGACACUUUGACUCAAAUGGAUACAUUCAAUAUGAAGUUCGAGGAAGACACUGGUCACCUGGAGUCCCGCAUUUACGAAAUAUUGAAUGAGCUUAAGGUUGCUUUGAACUUGAUCAAAGUAACAAGUGAAGAAAAGAAGCAGCUGAAGAAGGAAGUCAACACUCUAGUGCAACAACUGAAUGAUGAGAAAGAAUGUGCAUUGGUGCUAAAAGAGAAGGUUGAGAAAUUAGAAUUCGCAGGGAAAAACGAGGUGAGUCAGAGGGGUAGUUUGACAGAAACCGUUCACCAACUUGAAGUGAAGAUAGCUACAUUGCAUAAAAUGUUGGUGGAGAAGGAUGAAAAGAUGGGAGAGUAUGAAAGGAAGAUGAAUGACAAAGAUAAGGGAAUGUUAGACUUGAGUGAGGAAAAACGAGAGGCGAUAAGGCAGUUGUGUAUCUGGAUCGAUUACCACCAGAGUCGCUAUGAUGAUCUUAUAGAAAGGAUCUCAACAAAGACUAAGGGAAAAAGGCAAGUAACAGCUUGAAAUUCCUGUGUACAUCAUUUUUGCUUUUGCUUUCCUGAUUACCUUAGUUUUGGUACUUCUGUUUUGGAGUGAUUGGUCGUUUUUUACUUCAGAAGUGAUAUUGUUGCUGGGUCUUAGUUUUUUGAAAUACCCUUUCUUUUAGUCUGUAUAGGCAAGUAAUGCUACCAUUUUUUCAGUACUGGAAC
rnacentral:misc_RNA from 1 species